AUAUGUUCAACGAUCUUAAUCUAUUCUCUUUCAUUUUGUCUACUAUCGUAGCCACAACUAAACUAACUCGUAUAGGCUAAUUCCUCAACCUAUAUUCUUUCGUUAAUCCACUUAUCCAUCUGAGCAUCUCUCCUAUAUUCAUUUCUCUGAUCUAUUUUUCUGUCUACAAUUCUGUUUAACAGUGCCAUUUACAUCAAUCUGCUAUCUAGAUAUCUAUCUUUAUCUAGAUAACCGUGAGUAAAACCUUUAUUAUUAUGAUAUUAAAUGAUAUUCAAAACUCUGGCUUUAAAAAAUAUUUUACUAAACAGGGUAAUCACUGAUCAGUAUUCACUUUGAAACAUAUUAUAUAGGAAAGGAUUAACUUGUUUUAGACGAUUUACGGAAAAAAAUGUCACAUUCCUGUUAAUUUUAAAAGUGCUUGAAAGAAAUUUCUGGAGGUUCUAUGGCCCACUGCGCCUCUUUCUAUAUACACCACUGUUAAAUAAUGUUAACGUUAUGAGGGUUAUGAUAAUAUUAUAUAUACAACAUAUACAUUUUGUCUAAAUAAAAAAAUCUAAAAUAUCAUUAUAAAAGGCUAGAAUAUUGUAUAAUGUUGUGUGUGUUUACCACAGGUUAUAGUUUUACAAAAUCAUCAGUAGGUACAAAAAAAGCGAAAACAUAUGAUUAAUUUGUGCAAUAAUUUAUUUGUAUUUAAACUUCUAAAACCUUUUGUCUAUUUAAUGAAUCAAAUUAAAGUAUACUUGCUUAAGGUACCACGAUCAAAGAUACAAUUGUUGCCUAUAGAAUGCCAUCUA